rnacentral:rRNA from 1 species
CGAACCGGACAAACGUUAUUCGGAAUCACUGGGCUUACAGGGUGCGUAGGCGGUCUGGAGGGUGGGGUGUGAAAUCCCUCGGCUCAACCGAGGAAUUGCGCUCCAAACCGGCAGACUUGAGGGAGACAGAGGUGUGCGGAACUGAUGGUGGAGCGGUGAAAUGCGUUGAUAUCAUCAGGAACACCAGUGGCGAAAGCGGCACACUGGGUCUCUACUGACGCUGAGGCACGAAAGCCAGGGGAGCGAACGGGAUUAGAUACCCCGGUAGUCCUGGCCGUAAACGAUGAGCACUUGGUUGGAGGGUAGUUACUGCCUUCCGGCCGUAGCGAAAGCGUUAAGUGCUCCGCCUGGGGAGUAUGGUCGCAAGGCUG